UACGGAGGGGACUAGCGUUGUUCGGAAUUACUGGGCGUAAAGCGCACGUAGGCGGAUUUGUAAGUCAGGGGUGAAAUCCCGGGGCUCAACCUCGGAACUGCCUUUGAUACUGCAAAUCUCGAGUCCGGAAGAGGUGAGUGGAAUUCCUAGUGUAGAGGUGAAAUUCGUAGAUAUUAGGAAGAACACCAGUGGCGAAGGCGGCUCAACUGGUCCGGUACUGGGCGCUGAGGUGCGAAAGCGUGGGGAGCAAACAGG
rnacentral:rRNA from 1 species